rfam:Camelus ferus unplaced genomic scaffold scaffold938, whole genome shotgun sequence.
GAGGGUAUAGCUCAGUGGUAGAGCACAUGCUUAGCAUGCAUGAGGUCCUGGGUUCAAUCCUGAGUGCCUCCA